UACAGAGGGGGCAAGCGUUGUUCGGAAUUACUGGGCGUAAAGGGCGCGUAGGCGGCCUGUUAAGUCAGACGUGAAAUCCCUCGGCUCAACCGGGGAACUGCGUCUGAUACUGGCGGGCUUGAAUUCGGGAGAGGGAUGUGGAAUUCCAGGUGUAGCGGUGAAAUGCGCAGAUAUCAGGAGGAACACCGGUGGCGAAGGCGGGUCUCUGGGCCGAUACUGACGCUGAGGAGCGAAAGCGUGGGGAGCGAACAGG
rnacentral:rRNA from 1 species